rnacentral:rRNA from 1 species
GACGAACGCUGGCGGCGUGCUUAACACAUGCAAGUCGAACGGAAAGGCCCUGCUUUUGUGGGGUGCUCGAGUGGCGAACGGGUGAGUAACACGUUAGUAACCUGCCCUUGACUUUGGGAUUACUUCAUGAACCUGGGGCUAAUACCGGAUAGGCGCUCCUGCUGCAUGGUGGGGGUUUGAAAGGUUCGGCGGUUGGGGAUGUACUCGCGGCGUAUGGGUUUGUUGGUGUGGUAGUGGCUUACCAAGGCUUUGACGGGUAGCCGGCCUGAGAGGGUUACCGGCAACAUUGGGACUGACAUACGGCACAGACUCCUACGGGAGGCAGCAGUGGGGAAGAUUGCACAAUGCAGGGAAGCCUGAUGCAGCAACGCCGCGCGAGGGAUGAUGGCCUUCGGGUAUUAAGGCGCUUUCGCCUGCGACGAAGAGUGAGUGCAGGUACUGUGUAAAGAAGCACCGGCUAACUCCGUG